UGGAGAUAUAGUAUACUAAAUACAUUUUGCUUACACCAAAAAAACAGAUAAACUCUUAUUUCCU
rnacentral:tRNA from 1 species